UACGGAGGGUGCAAGCGUUAUUCGGAAUUACUGGGCGUAAAGCGCACGCAGGUGGCUGAGUCAGUCGAUUGUGAAAGCCCUGGGCUUAACCUGGGAAUUGCAGUCGAUACUACUCAGCUAGAGUAUGGGAGAGGGUAGUGGAAUUCCCGGUGUAGCGGUGAAAUGCGUAGAUAUCGGGAGGAACAUCAGUGGCGAAGGCGGCUACCUGGCCCAAUACUGACACUCAGGUGCGACAGCGUGGGGAGCAAAAGGG
rnacentral:rRNA from 1 species